AUUCUGUCACGUAAAUACAUGAAACAUAACACCUUAUGAAAUUAUUACCUUCUGG
rnacentral:sRNA from 1 species